AUGGACAAGCCGGCAUUCACGCUGGCCCAGAUCAAGGAGGCAAUCCCGCCUUACUGCUUCCAGUGCUCGUUGAUCAAGUCCUUCUCCUAUGUGGUCUAUGACCUCGUCAUCAGUGCAUCCCUCUUGUACACCGUGUUGGUCUGGAUCCCAACACUCCCGAGCAUGCAACAGCUGGGCACAUGUCCGCUCUACUGGGUGCCUCAUUUUGAUUUUCUUACCUUGAGGGCUGCGACGAGGCAGACAGGUGGUGGGCAGCAACAAUAG
rnacentral:rRNA from 1 species